rnacentral:rRNA from 1 species
UACGUAGGGUGCGAGCGUUGUCCGGAAUUAUUGGGCGUAAAGAGCUCGUAGGCGGUGUGUCACGUCGGCCGUGAAAACCUGCAGCUUAACUGUGGGCGUGCGGUCGAUACGGGCAUCACUGGAGUUCGGCAGGGGAGACUGGAAUUCCUGGUGUAGCGGUGAAAUGCGCAGAUAUCAGGAGGAACACCGGUGGCGAAGGCGGAUCUCUGGGCCUGUUCUGACGCUGGAGGCGACGAAAGCCUAGGGGAGCGAACAGG